rnacentral:lncRNA from 1 species
UAGACAUGGCGAAGAAGAAGCUACUUUGGAACGCGAGGAUGCGUUGAAGAAGGAGUUUCCCCAUCUUUUUAGGACUCAGCCUAAUCUCGAGGACGAGAUUCAAUUUAAGUGGGGUAGCUUUGUAACAUCCAUAAAAUUCACUAACUCAAAUCAUUCGGUAAAAUUCGUUUUCAAAAUCUUUUGACCAUUGAGCUCUCGAAAAUCCUUUCCUUCCCGGCAAUUUCGCCAUCUCGGUACCUGAAGCUAACAACCGUCCUGUUAUCCUUUUCUUUUCUCUUCCUCCGCAAAAUUCGCCGCGUGCUCAUCAAAAAGUCAUCACGUGUGCCCGACCAUUUUCCGCAUUUUUCGUCGACUCUCCCUCUCUUUUUUUAAUUUUCUCUUUUUCCCUUUUCUUUUUCUUCCUUCUCUUUCUUCCUUUCUUCUUCUUCCUUCCUCCUUUCUUCUUACUUCUUCCUGGAGCACACCGGCUCCUGGCUCCCUACACCUGCACAGUGCCCCUGGCCCUCCUGGCCAUGUGCAACUGCGCUUCACCCCCCUAGGCCCCAUGUCGUCAGGUCCCCGACGCCCUCCUACCACGCCUGCACGCCGGCGCACAGGCCUUGACCGCCCCUACCCAUGCCAGCCCCCUCGCUUCCCGUCGCCGAUUCGCCAAGGUGAGGGCCAAAAUGGAAUGGCCUCCUCUACCUUUCCCCACCCCCAAUCCAUGCCGCCAGCAAGCCUAGGCCGGCCGGCCCCCACCGGUUUCCCCUCCUCCCCAUCUCUAUGUCACGGUCCAGGGAAGAGGAAGGCAAAAAUCCCCUCCAAUUUUGAUCUAACCCCCUAUUUUCUCCUAUUCACGAAACAACCCUCCCACCUCCCAAAAAUCAUUACAACCAGGUCCCUUGUUCUCGCAGUUUAGUCCUAAACCUUGUUUUAAGCCCCUAAUACACGGUUAUCCCAUCAUUUCAUGCGCCAAACUUCCUCCAAUUAAUCCCAAAUUCGACCACGGCAUCCUCCAAAAUACUUCUGCCAAGUCAUCUCCAAAUUUCAUGAAAAUACUCAUUCUUUCU